UGGGCAAUGAGCCAUGGGCCAACAAUAUUCAAUGCUGUGUACCUGAUGGAUGGUUACUGUCUGAGACUGAGGCUUUUUGGGCCAGGAGUAAAAGGACUUGGUUUGUACUUGAUUGCGUCCUGUGGAUGCUUGCCUACCAACUGACUCAUCCUGACGUGCCAAAGGUCCUGGCUUUCCCCUGUGUGGGUAAGGGAAGAAGAGAGUUCUUUCCCACAAAGCCAGAACUCGGGAGUUUCUAUGUGUGAUCUCUCGUCAGUUUGCUUGUGAGAUGUCAGGUGAUGUGGCGGUUUGUCUAUGCGUGGGUGAUCUGUCUGCAAGGUUCAUGUUCAUGGCUGGCUGCUGAUGGGGACCACAACUUUGCCACAAGAGCUUUCUUCAUUGUUCCUAGUUCACUUCAACCCCACGAUCCUAAGCACACCUGUACCUGCCCUGGAAUCCCUCAGCCAUGUUUGUCCCACAGAGCAUCACUAUCAAACAGUUCACUGUGGACUCCUCGUAGCAGAAGUACAGUAGGGGACAGCAAGUGUCAGCUCCAUCAGGACCCCUGAUUUAAUUAUUUACUGUGGAACCAUUGUCCUGAGUCAGGAGGAUAGAUGAGGAAAGAAUGAGAGCGUGGCUGGCAUCGCUUCAUGAUUACAUUCUGGGAAAGAUCUUGCCUGUUAACCUCUAGAGAAGGAGGGACGAUACAGACAAUGAAGACUAUAGCAGACUGAAUUACUCUCUGAGAUGAGGACUUUGCUAUUGCCAUUGCAGAACCACUGGUGGAAGUUGUUGUUAAACAGUGGGUCUUGCAUGCAAGCUCUACAGUUAUGCACAGUAUUUCCAUGACAUCCCAAGCCAUGAGGUUCAUGCUGCCAUAUCCCCCUGUUUAACAAGUGUGGAAACUGAUAAUGGACUCACAAUUGCUGAUGUAUAGGUUCUAAUGUUUUCUAUUGUGGACACGGGACACCCAGACUGAGAACCAAUGGCUCCAGUCUGAUUUAAACAUGGGUCCGUGCUCACACACUCAAUACCUACCCUCUGUGCUCACAAGUCCUGUGUGAGUAAGACUCCAAAUUAUUCUGUCUUGUUUUACUCAAUGGUAUGCUCUACCUUAUUAUAGAGUAUACCAUGUAUUGAGACAAGAAUGCCAGUCAUUCUGAGAAACAAAAUGCAACCAUUAGUUGUCAUUUUAAUUAGUGACGAAUAGUUGUGUCAAUCAUCAAACAUGCUUGUAUAAUUGGAUGAGAAGAGGUGUAACACGGGCCAAUGAUGACGAGGUUUCGGGAUUAUAAGUCACGGACGAUGACUACGUCACUAGAGGUCUGAGGUCCAUAGCAGAAGAUGCCUCAUGUGACCCUCUCAUGCAGGGGUUGCAUGUCAGGCAUGUGCAUACAGUAGAUAUUAGCCAUG
rnacentral:lncRNA from 1 species